rnacentral:sRNA from 1 species
CGGCCGCCGCCGACCUGGGCCUACUUCCACUUCCGGGGUCACCAGGGAAGAGACGGGAAGGAAAAGAAAUAGCGGUUGGCUGAGGGGCGAGCCAGUCCAGCUAGCGCUGCGUCGACUCCAACGAGGCGGUCCUAAGGAAGUACUGGCCCCGCCAUUUAAAGGCCCCUCCCUCUGCAUGUGGGAAUGGGAUUGCCGCAGGUUGCACCGCUGGAAGCAAGACAAAACCAGGGAGCUCAGAAGAGUCACUGCCCUGAUCCCUUCCGUGCCGGCAGCUGCGAGGACACGGGCCCCUUUGUAUCCUGCGGUGCGGAGGUGGAGCAGAGGAGAGGGUGCCCCGGCUGGCCCCCUUCCUCGCCCCGCAGCACUACCCCUUCUUUCACAGCAACCCACGGCCUCCCCCGCGCUUGACCCAGCUGGCGAGCUGCCCCUUAUACCUGGAUCCGUCCCUCGGGACGCAGCUCCCCAGGCCCGAUCACCGAGCGGUGCCUAGGAACUGGGAGCGUAACUCGGCUCGGCUCAGAACUUUACCCGAGAGCCAAAGAACACUGAACUCAUCUACCUGCUGCUUGACAUCUCAUCUGCAUACCAAGCUAUUUGGUGGACGUCCACAAGCGCCCCCGCCCCCACGUAGACCCAGUUGGGUCCCCGUUCCGUCGGUCCCCUCCUCUGCACACGCCUCUAGCCUUAUACCCCGUCUUGAUCCGAAAGUUUUUCCACCCUUGAACCCCCAGUUGGCACUCCCGGACCAGCAAAAGCCCCUUCCCUGGGUCCACGAUCCCGACCACCCGGUUCUCCAGAAGACAAUACUCCAAUUCUCUGGAAAGUGGAAGAAACCAAGCUGGAGCUAGGGGGGCGCUGGGACCCCUAUUGGGGCUUUGAGAGCUUCCGGUUGUCAUCUCCUAAGUAUUCGGAGACCCUUCCCCAAAACUCUUGGGGCAACCCUCAAGACUCUUACCUGCUAUAUAGUUGGGGGUCUCUGGUCCUGGACUAGAGCAGUAGGCAACCUGGGUCCCCCCACACACACGGGAAAGAGUUGGAGGGACCUGCUUGUGAUGUCACCCCUCCUCUCCCCACCGCGCGCGCGCGCGCGCGCACACACACACCACCCACACACACCACCACGCCCUGUCCCCUUUCUCCACCCUGCAAGCUAGUUGCAUUUACCUCACAGAGCCUGGGCUGCGACUUGAAAGACUUUAGGCAGCAACAGAGUGACCCUGGGGGUGCUCUUGACCGACAGCCGCACCUCCGGCGUCUAGGACCUCCGAGCAGGGAUGCAUCUGGGGGUCUAGGGAAGCACUUCCACCCCCUCCUCUCCUCAACCCUGGCAGGAUGUGCCCGAAAUGCCAGCUCCUCCUUGGUGUUCUCCUUUCAAGAUUUGAAUUCAAAUCCCAUAUUGGCAGCCCUGAUACCGCUGGGGGAAGGGUGAGCUGGGUCUUACUGGGGAUCUGGCCAGCCUUGGGGACCCUUGGGGCCCUGGCCCAGUGGAAGCUUGUGCCUGAGGAACAUGGAGGCCACGCCAAUGAGUUACUUCCAGAGUCUUCAAGAGUGCCAACUGGGACCAGGACCCCAGGCCACAGCCCCCCACACCGUCCUGGACCUGGAUUCUGACUGUGGUUCCACUGUACCCCUCACCUUAAUCUCUGGUUCUAACCAGACCUGAGCCUAGACUUCCACUUUUUCCUUCACCCCUGUGAGGGCCUGGGAACACUAGGUGGGCAGGGUUUGAGCCCACAGGACCUGCACACAAACUUCCCCACCUCUUGGACUUGGGGACAGGAUCUGUGCCUCAACCCAGACCAGCCUUGUAGGGAUAUGUUCCAAGAAUAGAGAAGAGUCUUAUGGGGAAGGGGGAGGAAGGGAAGUAUGAAUAUUUACCUCUGACCAAUAAUAGAGGUGCCCUGGUCCCCAAAGAAACUGACUCCCGAAUUCCCUCCAAGCCUUACCCAUAUAGCUUUUUUUUUUUUUUUUUGAGACAAGGUCUUGUUCUGUCCAGUACCGUGGCGUGAUCACAGCUCAUGACAACUUUGAUUUCCCCGGCCCAAGCGAGCCUUUCAUUCAGCCUCCUGAGUGGCUGGGACCACAGACGCCACACACAGCUAAUUUUUAUUUGUUCGUUUUUAUUUUUUUUGCAGAGACAGGGUCUCCCUGUGUUGCCCAAGCUGGUCUUGAACUCCUGGGCUCAAGUGAUCCUCCUGCUUCAGCCUCCCAAAGUGCUAGGAUUACAGCCACCGCACCUGGUCUUGAAAUAGCCUUUUAAAUAUCUACCUCAGUGCCUCACAGUGGUAAAAAUAAGCGUUUUUUUGUUUUGUAGGAUCAGGGAGCUUCCAAGGCAUUUGAUAGCUUUUUGAUGGGAAGAAGGGCUCUGAGGAGCUCCAAGAUACCCCAACCUCCAGGCCCUUCAUUAGAGGGUAGUUGGGUUUCUGUUUGGCCUUUCCUACUGGGCCCCAUAGGCUUAAACUACCCCGCCACCUCCCCGCACCUCCUACCUCAGCUGGGAGCACUAUCUUCCAUGGUGCUUCCACUUCUCUCCUCAACCUGGGGAAGACCACAGGGCAGUGCCUGCCUCAGGACCUGCCUUCCCCAAAAGCUGGCUUCUUGCUCCAAGGAGAGAGCAUUGGCCCGCCUGCCAGAGUCUUGCCUUUUGCCCAAAAGGAGCCUGGUCUUCAGGGCUGCAUAGGAGACAAGUGCCUUCUCUGCUUCUCACUGUGGGUGGCACUAAUUUCCUCCUUAACCAGAACUUUGUUCCUGCCACUAACCCAUUCUAACUCUUCCCCCUCUGACUCUCCUGCCCAAGGUCUGUUCCUGGUUUCCCAGAUGCAUAAAGGAAGACAUAUCCGUCCCCUGGGCAGCAAGGCUACAAUGGGAGGGAGGGAGGGAGAACAUGGGAGCCUGUGAAUAAAAUGGCAUUAAAUACUG